CCUACGGGAGGCAGCAGUGAGGAAUAUUGGACAAUGGGCGCAAGCCUGAUCCAGCCAUGCCGCGUGCAGGAAGACGGUCCUAUGGAUUGUAAACUGCUUUUGUACGGGAAGAAACACUCCGACGUGUCGGAGCUUGACGGUACCGUAAGAAUAAGGAUCGGCUAACUCCGUGCCAGCAGCCGCGGUAAUACGGAGGAUCCAAGCGUUAUCCGGAAUCAUUGGGUUUAAAGGGUCCGUAGGCGGUUUAAUAAGUCAGUGGUGAAAUCUGGUCGCUCAACGAUCAAACGGCCAUUGAUACUGUUAGACUUGAAUUAUUGUGAAGUAACUAGAAUAUGUAGUGUAGCGGUGAAAAUGCUUAGAUAUUACAUGGAAUACCAAUUGCGAAGGCAGGUUACUAAACAAUAUAUUGACGCUGAUGGACGAAAAGCGUGGGGAGCGAACAGGAUUAGAUACCCUGGUAGUCCACGCCGUAAACGAUGGAUAUUAGCUGUUGGGAUUUAUCUCAGUGGCUAAGCGAAAAGUGAUAAGUAUCCCACCUGGGGAGUACGUUCGCAAGAAAUUGAAAACUCAAAAUUGAAAUUGA
rnacentral:rRNA from 1 species